rnacentral:rRNA from 1 species
UACGAAGGGGGCUAGCGUUGCUCGGAAUCACUGGGCGUAAAGGGUGCGUAGGCGGGCCUUUUAAGUCAGGGGUGAAAUCCUGGAGCUCAACUCCAGAACUGCCUUUGAUACUGAAGAUCUUGAGUUCGGGAGAGGUGAGUGGAACUGCGAGUGUAGAGGUGAAAUUCGUAGAUAUUCGCAAGAACACCAGUGGCGAAGGCGGCUCACUGGCCCGGUACUGACGCUGAGGUGCGAAAGCGUGGGGAGCAAACAGGG